UAUUUGAAUCAAUCGCUGCAAUUGAAAAAUUAUUGUAGAGGAAACUCCACGCUUGCACUUUCUGCGAUGAAAGUAGUGAUUGUGCUAGGGAAAAAAAUAACCCUGGACACCUUUUGGGUGAUGACUAGUAUUUUUCCUAAAAGUUUACUUAUGGAAAAACUAAUAAAGUGCCACAGAGACGAGUAUUGGGAAACCAGGAAAUGGAACGGGUAAACUCCACAAGCAAGAAACUCAAAUUUAGGUAGAGGAAUUAAACAAAGGGAAUUGAACCAAUGUUUGAACCGUAAUGGUAGAUAGAUGAUUGAUACCUAGAAAUAGGAACAAAACGUGGGUUAUGAUA
rnacentral:RNase_P_RNA from 2 species